ACGCUCGACACCUACGGGCGGCAGCAGUGGGGAAUAUUGCACAAUGGGGGAAACCCUGAUGCAGCGACGCCGCGUGAAGGAAGAAGUAUCUCGGUAUGUAAACUUCUAUCAGCAGGGAAGAAAGUGACGGUACCUGACUAAGAAGCCCCGGCUAACUACGUGCCCGCAGCCGCGGUAAUCUGAGCGGGCUGGCAAGGC
rnacentral:rRNA from 1 species